rnacentral:sRNA from 1 species
AGCCACAUCUCCUUCUCACUAGAGCCUCCAUCACAGCAUGGCUUUCCUGGUGCUGUUGCUCUGCUUGGUGACAUUUCCAAGCUGUGUCCUGUCCCAGGUGCAGCUGAAGGAGUCAGGAUCUGGUCUCCUGCAGCCCUCACAGACCCUGUCCCUCACCUGCACUGUCUCCGGAUUCUCAUUAACCAGCAAUAGUGUACACGGGUUUGUCAGCCUCCAGGAAAGGGUCUGGAGUGGAUGGGAGUAAUAUGGGGUGGUGGAAGCACAGAUUAUAAUUCAGCUCUCAAAUCCCGACUGAGCAUCAGCAGGGACACCUCC